rnacentral:rRNA from 1 species
CCCUGCUUUUGUGGGGUGCUCGAGUGGCGAACGGGUGAGUAACACGUGAGUAACCUGCCCUUGACUUUGGGAUAACUUCAGGAAACUGGGGCUAAUACCGGAUAGGAGCUCCUGCUGCAUGGUGGGGGUUGGAAAGUUUCGGCGGUUGGGGAUGGACUCGCGGCUUAUCAGCUUGUUGGUGGGGUAGUGGCUUACCAAGGCUUUGACGGGUAGCCGGCCUGAGAGGGUGACCGGCCACAUUGGGACUGAGAUACGGCCCAGACUCCUACGGGAGGCAGCAGUGGGGAAUAUUGCACAAUGGGCGGAAGCCUGAUGCAGCAACGCCGCGUGCGGGAUGACGGCCUUCGGGUUGUAAACCGCUUUCGCCUGUGACGAAGCGUGAGUGACGGUAAUGGGUAAAGAAGCACCGGCUAACUACGUGCCAGCAGCCGCGGUGAUACGUAGGGUGCGAGCGUUGUCCGGAUUUAUUGGGCGUAAAGGGCUCGUAGGUGGUUGAUCGCGUCGGAAGUGUAAUCUUGGGGCUUAACCCUGAGCGUGCUUUCGAUACGGGUUGACUUGAGGAAGGUAGGGGAGAAUGGAAUUCCUGGUGGAGCGGUGGAAUGCGCAGAUAUCAGGAGGAACACCAGUGGCGAAGGCGGUUCUCUGGGCCUUUCCUGACGCUGAGGAGCGAAAGCGUGGGGAGCGAACAGGCUUAGAUACCCUGGUAGUCCACGCUGUAAACGGUGGGUACUAGGUGUGGGGUCCAUUCCACGGGUUCCGUGCCGUAGCUAACGCUUUAAGUACCCCGCCUGGGGAGUACGGCCGCAAGGCUAAAACUCAAAGGAAUUGACGGGGCCCCGCACAAGCGGCGGAGCAUGCGGAUUAAUUCGAUGCAACGCGUAGAACCUUACCUGGGUUUGACAUGGAUCGGGAGUGCUCAGAGAUGGGUGUGCCUCUUUUGGGGUCGGUUCACAGGUGGUGCAUGGCUGUCGUCAGCUCGCGUCGUGAGAUGUUGGGUUAAGUCCCGCAACGAGCGCAACCCUUGUUCACUGUUGCCAGCACGUUAUGGUGGGGACUCAGUGGGGACCGCCGGGGUCAAC